rnacentral:lncRNA from 1 species
AAAAAAACGGAAACAAGCUUGUAAGUGAAAGUAAGUGACUGCCACCUCAAGAAUCUCAUAAGUACUUGAAUCAUUACAUCUACUUCCAUCAUUAUCUAUCAAAAUUCUCUUGUAGACUAAAUGCAUUUGUUGAAUUAAUUGGAUUUAGGAAUGAAGAUCAUCAAGGAGAAGGGGUGGGAUAAAAUUAAAAUUUGAGCCUUAUAUCUUUUG